rnacentral:rRNA from 1 species
GAUGAACGCUGGCGGCGUGCCUAAUACAUGCAAGUCGAGCGAAUGGAUUAAGAGCUUGCUCUUAUGAAGUUAGCGGCGGACGGGUGAGUAACACGUGGGUAACCUGCCCAUAAGACUGGGAUAACUCCGGGAAACCGGGGCUAAUACCGGAUAACAUUUUGAACCGCAUGGUUCGAAAUUGAAAGGCGGCUUCGGCUGUCACUCAUGGAUGGACCCGCGUCGCAUUAGCUAGUUGGUGAGGUAACGGCUCACAAAGGCAACGAUGCGUAGCCGACCUGAGAGGGUGAUCGGCCACACUGGGACUGAGACACGGCCCAGACUCCUACGGGAGGCAGCAGUAGGGAAUCUUCCGCAAUGGACGAAAGGCUGACGGAGCAACGCCGCGUGAGUGAUGAAGGCUUUCGGGUCGUAAAACUCUGUUGUUAGGGAAGAACAAGUGCUAGUUGAAUAAGCUGACACCUUGACGGUACCUAACCAGAAAGCCACGGCUAACUACGUGCCAGCAGCCGCGGUAA